GCCGGUGUAGCUCAAUGGUAGAGCAACUGAUUUGUAAUCAGUGGGUUAAGGGUUCAAAUCCUUUUGCCGGCA
rnacentral:tRNA from 1 species